AAAAUUCUCUUAAACGAGGCCGCUGCCCCAUGCUGAGGCCAUUCCAUUGCACUGCGGGUGGCUGACGCACGCUGCUUCCCCAAGUCGGGGUAGAUGGAGCAUGUAAUUUUUGGUAGUGGGGCUAGGCGUACGCGCCGGCCCCCA
rnacentral:snRNA from 1 species